rnacentral:rRNA from 1 species
UAGCAUAUCAAUAAGCGGAGGAAAAGAAACCAACAGGGAUUGCCUCAGUAACGGCGAGUGAAGCGGCAACAGCUCAAAUUUGAAAUCUGGCGCAAGCCCGAGUUGUAAUUUGUAGAGGAUGCUUCAGGGCAGCGGCCGGUCUAGGUUCCUUGGAACAGGACGUCGUAGAGGGUGAGAAUCCCGUAUGCGACCGGUGGGCACCCGUCACGUAGCUCCUUCGACGAGUCGAGUUGUUUGGGAAUGCAGCUCUAAAUGGGUGGUAAAUUCCAUCUAAAGCUAAAUACCGGCCAGAGACCGAUAGCGCACAAGUAGAGUGAUCGAAAGAUGAAAAGCACUUUGGAAAGAGAGUUAAAAAGCACGUGAAAUUGUUGAAAGGGAAGCGCAUGCAACCAGACUCGUCGGCGGCGUUCCGCCGGUCUUCUGACCGGUCUACUCGCCGCCGGCGGGCCAGCAUCAUCUGGGCGCGCCGGACAAAGGCGCGGGGAAUGUAGCUCCUCGGAGUGUUAUAGGCCCGCGCACAAUACGGCGCCGCCCGGGUGAGGUCCGCGCUCCGGCUAGGAUGCUGGCGUAAUGGUUGUACGCGGCCCGUCUUGAAACACGGACCAAGGAGUCUAACAUCUAUGCGAGUGUUCGGGUGUCAAACCCCUGCGCGGAAUGAAAGUGAACGGAGGUGGGAAGCGCGAGCUGCACCAUCGACCGAUCCUGAUGUCUUCGGAUGGAUUCGAGUAAGAGCAUAGCUGUUGGGACCCGAAAGAUGGUGAACUAAACUUGGCCAGAGCGAAGCCAGAGGAAACUCUGGUGGAGGCUCGCAGCGGUUCUGACGUGCAAAUCGAUCGUCAAAGCUGGGUUUAGGGGCGAAAGACUAAUCGAACCAUCUAGUAGCUGGUUCCUGCCGA